AUUGAACGCUGGCGGCAGGCCUAACACAUGCAAGUCGAGCGGAUGAAGGGAGAUUGCUCCUGGAUUCAGCGGCGGACGGGCGAGUAAUGCCUAGGAAUCUGCCUGGUUGUGGGGGAUAACGUCCGGAAACGGGCGCUAAUACCGCAUACGUGCUGAGGGAGAAAGUGGGGGAUCUUCGGACCUCACGCUAUCAGAUGAGCCUAGGUCGGAUUAGCUAGUUGGUGGGGUAAAGGCCUACCAAGGCGACGAUCCGUAACUGGUCUGAGAGGAUGAUCAGUCACACUGGAACUGAGACACGGUCCAGACUCCUACGGGAGGCAGCAGUGGGGAAUAUUGGACAAUGGGCGAAAGCCUGAUCCAGCCAUGCCGCGUGUGUGAAGAAGGUCUUCGGAUUGUAAAGCACUUUAAGUUGGAAGGAAGGGCAGUAAGUUAAUACCUUGCUGUUUUGACGUUACCAACAGAAUAAGCACCGGCUAACUUCGUG
rnacentral:rRNA from 1 species